rnacentral:rRNA from 1 species
AUUGAACGCUGGCGGCAUGCCUUACACAUGCAAGUCGAACGGCAGCGGACCUUCGGGUGCCGGCGAGUGGCGAACGGGUGAGUAAAGUAUCGGAACGUACCUUUCAGUAGGGGAUAACGUAGCGAAAGUUACGCUAAUACCGCAUAUUCUGUGAGCAAGAAAGCAGGGGAUCGCAAGACCUUGCGCUGAUUGAGCGGCCGAUAUCAGAUUAGCUAGUUGGUGAGGUAAAGGCUCACCAAGGCGACGAUCUGUAGCGGGUCUGAGAGGAUGAUCCGCCACACUGGAACUGAGACACGGUCCAGACUCCUACGGGAGGCAGCAGUGGGGAAUUUUGGACAGUGGGGGCAACCCUGAUCCAGCCAUGCCGCGUGAGUGAAGAAGGCCUUCGGGUUGUAAAGCUCUUUCGGCCGGGAAGAAAUCGUAUCAGCUAAUACCUGGUGCGGAUGACGGUACCGGCAUAAGAAGCACCGGCUAACUACGUGCCAGCAGCCGCGGUAACAC